UGGGACCGGUACUCCAUCAGUCACGAUGAAGUACAAUAAUAAAGUAACGGAGACAAGUACAGCGGCCGACGCUAUUGUGACAUUGAGUGCACUCCCUGCCGGAUCGUAUACUUACACCCUACCAACCGCAUUGAACCCUGAUGCAAUUGGAACCAUUGCGACCGCUUCUUCUGGAGCGAUUACACUUGCUACAUGAAAAUCCCUUGAUUACGAAACAAAGACGUCCUAUGUAUUUGUUGUUGUCGCUACACCCGGUUCUGGUACUGCCGGCACUGCCACCGUGACUGUAGAGAUCAAGAACAUGGUCGAGUUCAGCCAGACUCACUACCUAGCGUGUAUCGCUGAUGGAACUACUGCCGGUACGACGAUCGGGACCUUUACUGUUGCAGAUAAGGCCAGCGAUGACACAAUCACCUAUGAAUAUUGUAAGACAUGAAUUGAGUGUUAUUUAAUUUUCGCAUUUUCAUA